CUUGGUCAUUUAGAGGAAGUAAAAGUCGUAACAAGGUUUCCGUAGGUGAACCUGCGGAAGGAUCAUUACAGAAUUUGUAAUGAGUUUGUUGAGGGGUUGUGCUGGUCUGGACACACUGGACAUGUGCACGCCUCGAUCGAGCGCAUUUACAUAUCCACACACACCCGUGCACGAUCUGUAGUUUUGGGAUGAUCACAGGGUCUGUCAUGGACUUUGAAAGCCCAUUGCUAUGUCUUUAUCCACACAUACACUUUUAUAAUUGAAUGACAUUUUUUUGGGAUGUAUUUAUUAUAAUACAUGAUGGCAAUACAACUUUCAGCAACGGAUCUCUUGGCUCUCGCAUCGAUGAAGAACGCAGCGAAAUGCGAUAAGUAAUGUGAAUUGCAGAAUUCAGUGAAUUAUCGAAUCUUUGAACGCACCUUGCGCUCCUUGGUAUUCCGAGGAGCAUGCCUGUUUGAGUGUCAUGAAAUUAUCAACUGCUUUAAUUUAUUUUUAAAGUGAAGUUGGAUUUGGAGCUUUAUUGCUGGUCUUUAAUUGAUCAGCUGCUCUUAAAUAUAUCAAAGCCUUUUUUGCCAUUUGCUUCAUUCAAUGUGAUAACUAUCUACAUUGUAUUACGAACAUGUGGGGGCUUUUAUAAUGUGGGGACCCAUUCGACAAUUUGACCUCAAAUCAGGUAGGACUACCCGCUGAACUUAAGCAUAUCAAUAAGCGGAGG
rnacentral:rRNA from 1 species